GAUGAACGCUAGCGGCAGGCUUAACACAUGCAAGUCGAGGGGCAGCACGUCUUCGGAUGGUGGCGACCGGCGCACGGGUGCGUAACGCGUAUACAAUCUACCUUUUACAGGGGCAUAGCCCGGGGAAACCCGGAUUAAUAUCCCAUGGUAUCAUUUAGUGGCAUCACUUGAAUGAUUAAAGUUUCGGCGGUAAAAGAUGAGUAUGCGUUCUAUUAGCUAGAUGGUAAGGUAACGGCUUACCAUGGCUACGAUAGAUAGGGGUCCUGAGAGGGAGAUCCCCCACACUGGUACUGAGACACGGACCAGACUCCUACGGGAGGCAGCAGUGAGGGAUAUUGGACAAUGGGCGAGAGCCUGAUCCAGCCAUGCCGCGUGCAGGAAGACUGCCCUAUGGGUUGUAAACUGCUUUUANACGGGAAGAAACACCUCCACGUGUGGAGGCUUGACGGUACCGUAUGAAUAAGGAUCGGCUAACUCCGUGCCAGCAGCCGCGGU
rnacentral:rRNA from 1 species